UCAAACAGCGGCCUUCGGGCCUUGCUGCACCCUUGUCUUUUGCGUACCGUAUGUUUCCUCGGCGGGCUUGCCUGCCGGUUGGACAUUCAUCAAAACCUCUUUGUAGUUGCAAUCAGCGUCAGAAAACAAUAAUUAUUA
rnacentral:misc_RNA from 1 species